UAAUAGAAUAGUUGCUUUCAGCAAUAACC
rnacentral:piRNA from 1 species